UACGUAGGGUGCGAGCGUUGUCCGGAAUUAUUGGGCGUAAAGGGCUCGUAGGCGGUUUGUCGCGUCGGGAGUGAAAACCCAGGGCUUAACCCUGGGCUGGCUUCCGAUACGGGCAGACUAGAGGUAUGCAGGGGAGAACGGAAUUCCUGGUGUAGCGGUGAAAUGCGCAGAUAUCAGGAGGAACACCGGUGGCGAAGGCGGUUCUCUGGGCAUUACCUGACGCUGAGGAGCGAAAGCGUGGGUAGCAAACAGG
rnacentral:rRNA from 1 species